CAACCAGAUGCAUCUCUGAGAGUUAACAGCAGAAGGUGGCAUAAUAAAAGAAGUUCUCGGUAGUGAAAAGGGUUGGAAACCACCAGCUAAACCAAUCCUCUUGUACCAAUAGGAGAUUCAAGUUGAGAGGUGGGAAAGGGCCUAUCUCAGAGUAGGUGCUUGAAUACUUCCUACUAGAAUGAAAGAAGGAACUGAAGAUCACACAGCCAUGUUACUGCAGGACGGGGAAUGGAACCUAGGUCUUCUUAUUUUUGGUUCAGUGUUAACUCCCAUUCUCCAAGCAGACCGGGCCUGUUAUUCAAACUGCCUUCCCAUAGGUGCUUCCCUGCUUCUCUCCUCACCCAGAGAAGGACUUACAAACAGCUUAUCUUCAGAGGUUUUGUGCCUGAUAGUUAUGGAAUGUGCUGGUUUGAGCAGGGAGGAUGUAAGGGGAGGGGAAUGCUAAAAGCCUGUCUACUUAGAGUCAGGUUUCCUGGGUAAGUCCCUGGAACCCCAUCCCCUUCCCCUUUCUUGAGACCCUGGGACUUGCUCCAGUAACUGCCACCCUGUGCCUUUGCUUCAGGGCCAUGCUGGAUAAGGAGCUGGCUGCCUCUGUGAACAUCCUACUCAAGGCAUCUUCACUGCUGUACAUCCUUUUGAAAUCCCAGAGAUCUUCAGUCUCCCU
rnacentral:sRNA from 1 species